GUCUACGGCCAUACCACCCUGAACAUGCCCAAUCUCGUCUGAUCUCGGAAGCUAAGCAGGGUUGGGCCUGGUUAGUACUUGGAUGGGAGACCACCUGGUAAUACCGGGUGCUGUAGGCU
ensembl:rRNA 5S_rRNA 5S ribosomal RNA